AUCCAGCUGACGAGUCCCAAGUAGGGCGAAAGGCGCAUCCUGUAU
rnacentral:hammerhead_ribozyme from 1 species